UACGUAGGGGGCAAGCGUUGUCCGGAUUUAUUGGGCGUAAAGAGCUCGUAGGCGGUUCGGUAAGUCGGGUGUGAAACCUCCAGGCUCAACCUGGAGACGCCGCCCGAUACUGCUGUGACUAGAGUCCGGUAGGGGAGCGUGGAAUUCCUGGUGUAGCGGUGAAAUGCGCAGAUAUCAGGAGGAACACCAGCGGCGAAGGCGGCGCUCUGGGCCGGAACUGACGCUGAGGAGCGAAAGCGUGGGGAGCAAACAGG
rnacentral:rRNA from 1 species